rnacentral:rRNA from 1 species
UUGAGCCUGGCUCAGAUUGAACGCUGGCGGCAGGCCUAACACAUGCAAGUCGAACGGUAGCACAGAGGAGCUUGCUCCUUGGGUGACGAGUGGCGGACGGGUGAGUAAUGUCUGGGAAACUGCCCGAUGGAGGGGGAUAACUACUGGAAACGGUAGCUAAUACCGCAUAACGUCGCAAGACCAAAGAGGGGGACCUUCGGGCCUCUUGCCAUCGGAUGUGCCCAGAUGGGAUUAGCUAGUAGGUGGGGUAACGGCUCACCUAGGCGACGAUCCCUAGCUGGUCUGAGAGGAUGACCAGCCACACUGGAACUGAGACACGGUCCAGACUCCUACGGGAGGCAGCAGUGGGGAAUAUUGCACAAUGGGCGCAAGCCUGAUGCAGCCAUGCCGCGUGUAUGAAGAAGGCCUUCGGGUUGUAAAGUACUUUCAGCGAGGAGGAAGGUGUUGUGGUUAAUAACCGCAGCAAUUGACGUUACUCGCAGAAGAAGCACCGGCUAACUCCGUGCCAGCAGCCGCGGUAAUACGGAGGGUGCAAGCGUUAAUCGGAAUUACUGGGCGUAAAGCGCACGCAGGCGGUCUGUCAAGUCGGAUGUGAAAUCCCCGGGCUCAACCUGGGAACUGCAUCCGAAACUGGCAGGCUAGAGUCUUGUAGAGGGGGGUAGAAUUCCAGGUGUAGCGGUGAAAUGCGUAGAGAUCUGGAGAAAUACCGGUGGCGAAGGCGGCCCCCUGGACAAAGACUGACGCUCAGGUGCGAAAGCGUGGGGAGCACCCAAAAGGAGAUACCCUGGUAGUCCACGCCGUAAACGAUGUCGACUUGGAGGUUGUGCCCUUGAGGCGUGGCUUCCGGAGCUAACGCGUUAAGUCGACCGCCUGGGGAGUACGGCCGCAAGGUUAAAACUCAAAUGAAUUGACGGGGGCCCGCACAAGCGGUGGAGCAUGUGGUUUAAUUCGAUGCAACGCGAAGAACCUUACCUACUCUUGACAUCCAGAGAACUUAGCAGAGAUGCUUUGGUGCCUUCGGUAACUCUGAGACAGGUGCUGCAUGGCUGUCGUCAGCUCGUGUUGUGAAAUGUUGGGUUAAGUCCCGCAACGAGCGCAACCCUUAUCCUUUGUUGCCAGCGGUUCGGCCGGGAACUCAAAGGAGACUGCCAGUGAUAAACUGGAGGAAGGUGGGGAUGACGUCAAGUCAUCAUGGCCCUUACGAGUAGGGCUACACACGUGCUACAAUGGCAUAUACAAAGAGAAGCGACCUCGCGAGAGCAAGCGGACCUCAUAAAGUAUGUCGUAGUCCGGAUUGGAGUCUGCAACUCGACUCCAUGAAGUCGGAAUCGCUAGUAAUCAUGGAUCAGAAUGCCACGGUGAAUACGUUCCCGGGCCUUGUACACACCGCCCGUCACACCAUGGGAGUGGGUUGCAAAAGAAGUAGGUAGCUUAACCUUCGGGAGGGCGCUUACCAC